CACCUCCCGGCAUCUGAGCAAAGCCCUUCUCUCCCCAAGCCCCUGCGACUGCGGGAAGUUGGGCUUUUGGGGGGAAACCUCUGAGUCCCUGGAGAGGUUCCAGGUGGCCAAAGGCAGGCUUCUUGCCACGCAUGCCGUCCCCAGACGCCUCCCUCUGCUCAGUUCCUACGGAAGGGGAUCGGCAGCCAGACGGCGGCAGGUUUCUCACAUUUUUUUUCUUCUUAGAAAUGGAAACCCUCCUUCCGGCAACGUGGCAGGAAAGCUAAGUCCGGGGCGACCCAGGCCAAGGACAUUUCCGUGGUAGCAGGGUGUCUCUCUCUCAUCAUGUGGAAUCUGUGCGCAAUGGAAGCAUCCUGGAAAGAGAAGAAGGCAGAAGCCUGGACUGCUUCCGAAGCCAGCAAGAAUCUCUGACCCUUUCCUUACGCUCGCUGUCUUCCUCCUCCCGAUUUGGCUGCACUGUCGGCUUCCUGUACCUCAACGCAUCCUGAGUUUGGAACGUCUUAGCCGUGAGGAUCUGCAUCUCACACUCUCAUCACAGCCACCCCGAUGCUUGUGACUAGUGUUUAGAUGCUCUGUGGUCUACAGUCCAGAGCAGGACCCAAAGCUGGGCUCAAUUCUCCUCCAAGGCUAGCCUUUCGUGCUUCUUACUGAACGCAUUUUCCAGCAGAGGAGUGUGUACUGGCCCCUUAUCACCCAGUCCCCAUCUAACUCUGUGGGGGCAGAUACCAAAUGCUGGAAAUAUAUUGGCUGAUUGGGUUGGAGAAGUGCAGCCCAGAAACAGUGAGAUUUGCUCAGGAGUAACAGUGAAACAUGAAAAUCUCCAGGUAUGGUGGCACUUGCCUGCAGUCUGAGCAUGCGGGGGAGACUGAGGCAGAGGAUCAAGGCCAGCCUGGACUACAAGGUGGGUCUGGACCAUAUCUUAGCAAACCAGACCAACCAACCAACCAAAACCCAAUAAAUAACCAAAAAUACAUCUACUACACUAUGUGUCUGAAAGAUCUCUAAAAUUCCAUGGAGCACAUAUUUAGCUAAUGUAUAUUCCAUCCCUCCCUCUCCUUCCCUCCCUCCCUUCCUGGGACAGGCUCUUACCACGUGAUUCUGGCUGGCCUGUAACUUACUAUGUAGACCCUGUUGGGCUCAAACUAAGAGAGAUCCUCCUGCCUCUGUCUCCCUUGCAAUGGGAUUAAAGGUGUGCACUACCACGCUGGGUAUAUCCUGUUUCUUGAUGAGGAAACUCUACAACAGAGCCAUUUCUAGUGCUUUUACCUUGUUUUUAGCAUCAAGAGAGACUAGUGCAGUUCACUGAAGAAGCUUUCGGGGCGCAUACUAUGUGUGAUGAGGUUUUCCGUAGGGACAAGGGUGACCCCAGCCAGCAGCCACCACGUGAAAUCUGGGAGGUCAUGUCUAGGCUUACUUUGUGGUUGGUAGACCCACAUUCCUCGGGACUUUAAGGGUUAAACGUCUGCUACCGAUUUAUUCUUUUAGUUUUCAGACUCAUCAAGAGCUGAAGGGCUGGAUAGAGUCUCCUUUGUGGACACACGGUGGGAGGUGUCAACAGUCAGGUAGCCCCUCCCCCCUGGCCCCACAGGGCCUACUCAGCUCCUUUGGCAGCAACUCUUCCUAGUCCAGACCCUGUCCACCCCCCGUGUGUCUUUCAGCAAGUUUCCAGGAACACUCCCGAUAAGGUACACGUGACAUUUGUCACAUGAUUUUCUAGAAUUCCAGAAAGCGUUCCAUCUGUGUUCCUUUGAAGGACCAAUUUUAUCCUGUUAGAAACAAAACAAAAUAUGCCCCCCAACAAAAACCUUAAAACAAACAUCCGUAUAUUGUGCGGCAUGAUUUUUACACCACUGCUAUUACCCCCUGUACAGCUGGGUCGAGCUCCUGGUUUUAAUUCCUGGAGCAUUGCAGACACUCUUUUCUCGGUUCUUAUCACUCUAAUGAGUCUUUCUCUGCUCCACCAGCUCCCAAAUGACACAGGAACUUCUUACUGAUCACGAAAGCUCAGCCUAUAGCUUAGACUUGUCCCUAAUUAGCUCGCAUAAGUUAAACUAACCCAUUUCUGUAACUUAAGCUAACCCAUUUCCGUUAAUCUACGUUUCACCAUGUGGCUCUCUGUCUGUCACUCUGCGUGUGUGCCACUGCCUCCCGGGUCUUGUUGGCGUCCUCCCUGACCCCCAUUAUCUCCUCCUGUGCCCUCACCCUGACUGGAAGGCCCACCCAAACCUCCUGCCUAGCUAUUGACCCUUUAGCUCUUGAUUAAGAUAAUCACAGCAGUACAUCUUCACGCGGUGUACAAGUACCCCCACAGCAUAUCACCCUUGGUUUUUCCAUUACUAAGUUUUGUGUGGCUUCUUCUUCCAAAGGCCAGCAUCUGCAAUAUCGUCAGCUCUGCGUGUGACUCCUAAUCUGACAGUGUAAUCUCUUGACAAAUACAUGAAACAGCAAGAGGGAGCUAAGCUGUCUUCCAAAAGGCAGUGUAAAGGCUGACCGUGUUUGUCUCCCGGGAAUAGAGUGAAUCGAGGCUUGCUUUUAUUCCAAGAGGCUCCGUGCUGAGCACUGACCGUAGCAUAUUUAUUUUAUGGGUUCAGAAACUUUCUUGAUGAUGACCACAGCAAAAUCACACUUCAUUCUAGAGAGAGUGACAGGAAUGGGAGGCCAGGGGAAGCAGUGGUAUUUCUGAUGGUCUCCAGUUGGUGUGUGUUCUAUGUGGAUGGCCUGAAAGGGAGAUAAUGAAGUAUGGACAAGGGCUGCUCCUUCUGCAACCAAAAACCUCAAACACAUGGUUGAAUGAGGGAUUUUGGCUUUCUGUCAAACAUAAAAUGCUAUCAUUUGAUCUCUGAAAUACUGGAAUGUCUGUUCAAUAGAAAUAUAGCAUGUUUGUAACUUAGAAGUUUCUGCAAGCCACAUAAAAAGUAAAAAGAAACAGAUGAAAUUAA